rnacentral:rRNA from 1 species
UACGUAGGGUGCGAGCGUUAAUCGGAAUUACUGGGCGUAAAGUGUGCGCAGGCGGCCACGCAAGUCGAGUGUGAAAGCCCCGAGCUUAACUUGGGAACUGCGCUCGAAACUACGUGGCUGGAGUGUGGCAGAGGAAGGUGGAAUUCCAGGUGUAGCGGUGAAAUGCGUAGAGAUCUGGAGGAACACCGAUGGCGAAGGCAGCCUUCUGGGCCAACACUGACGCUCAUGCACGAAAGCGUGGGGAGCAAACAGG